rnacentral:lncRNA from 1 species
UGAGUUCUAUCAAGUGUAUUUGCAUCACUGAGUGAUGACAGUUGAGGAUGCAAAAUGUCUUGCCAGUUUGCUUAUUAACUACUGCAAAUAUAACUAUACCCUGUGAAGAACUAUUCCUUCAGAUUUUAUAUGGAGCUUGGCAAAUAUAAGUGGCCCUGAAUUUGUUCCAGAGACAUGUACUUUUUUUCUUGACAGUAAGACUUGGAAGGUCUGGAUACUGGUGUUAUUGGCCACCUUGAAUCAAGGCAUUUCAAUAUGCUUUUCACAGGCAAUUUCCUGUCACUGUCUUGUUUAACAGCCACAAGCUUCUUACCAGUGCUUGUUCUGGGAACUGAUCUCCAUUGGACUGUAGUGACAGAAAAUGAAACCUGUUUUUCACUAUGGGAUGAGAAGAUCAAUGCAGUUUUGGAGAACAAACCCAAACCUGAAAACUUUGACCAGCUUUGUCAGUCUACAGACACGCUCAAAUCCUGCCUGAUCUCCCACUUCUGGAGCUGACCCAAGCCUGCAGUGUCUGGUGUGUGGUGCAGGUGCUGAUAAAUCCAUGCGUAGAAGUGUUUAUUCAGAAUUUGCAUUCAAACAUUUUCAAGGAAGAAGCUGUUCAGCAGAUAGUAUGUGAAAACAACUGAAACGUGUGACGAGGAUCUGUCAGGCAGAUCCAAUCUCUUCACAGAGCUGCAGCAAAGGGUUCCAUGCUCCCUUUGGCCUCUCCUGCUAGAUCUUGCCCUCCUCAUCCAGCAGCUAGCAGCAGGGAAACCUCCAAAGACUGAGAAGUGCUUGGUGCUGCAUAUGAUUUCCUUAGUGGAUGAGCUAUGCCAGUGUGAUAGGGUAAUUUCAAUCAGCUUGACCUGAAUCUUCUUUUCAGUUGGGUCUCUUUGGAUACACAGUGUUAAGAGCUUCUAUGCUAAAUGGACUAGUAAAAAUAAAUGGAGAGUGGAGUGGCAAAGCUGGGGAAUGCUCCAUCGUUGGUGUGAUUUAAUUAAACACCCUUUCACUUCAGAUGGAUAAAAAUCCUGGACCUAAAGGAGAUAAAUUAAAUUUGGCAUUGUUUUGAUGGUAAAUAGUAUGGAUCACCAAAAAACUACAGGUUUUUAUUUUUUACUUUGUUUCUACUGAUUUACUAGCUUCAGUAAAGAGUUGCUCAUGCUGCUUGAGAUGGGCAUUUGUAAGAGUUCCAGUGUGGAUGUAAAAUUUUGCUGCAAAUCUAUUUUUUGAGAUCGUGAGCAAGUUGAACACUAAAAUUAAAAUUUGGGUAACAAUCAAAAAUGCUCUAGCCUUUCUGUGCCUGGAUUCUCUUAGCAAUAAAAUAUGCUUCUAAAUUAUUUUCAUUAAAUGAAGCUUUUAUGUCCAUUUCUUCCUUGAUUAGGAAGGCAAUGAUUUGAAAAAUUUAAGAUAUUGAGGUCUUGAGUGUCAGAGAUGCCCAGCUUUAAGAAAAGCGAAGUAAACAUUUCUCUGCAAUAUGGUCAAAAUAAAUUGCUGUGAAUGUGGAUGUACAAAUAAUUCCAGAUCAGUUUAAUGGGUCAAGCUUUCAUAUUAUUAAAAGGGCGAUGAUUGUAUGCACACGUGAUCAAGUUAAUUCAAGUCACCAAAUGUGUUCUGUGCAAAGUGAUGCGUUUGUUGAAUACUUAGCAAAGGAGUGUUGUAAGAAGUGUUGAACCUGACACUAUUCCAGAAAUUUUCUUUUUUAAUAUCAAGAAUGUUAUUUUCCUGAAGUCCACCCGAAGUGAAAGAUCCUGAUUUUUAGCUUUCAUGUGCCUGUUGCCGUUCAUGCUUUAAGUUCUGUCCACUCACAUGUUGUUUUAAUGCCCUUCUGCACUCCCUGUCCUGAUGCCCAGAAAUGGGUGAAUUAUGUGCGUGCAACCUAGCUUUCCACUGUCCUUUGCAUUCCUUUUAUUAUUUACUUACAAUAAAGAAAAUGGACUGAGAAGUUGACAAAUUGAAGCAAGAGCCAGUAUUUCAUUUGGUAAUUGUUGCAAAUGAGCAAGUAAAUGACGAAGGUAUGAGAUAAUAAAAGGUCAGGGCGAAUGGAUGGAGCUGAGCGCUUUUAAGUCUGGCUGCUCUCUUUAUAGCAGAUCAUUGGGGUUGAAUUUAAUCUAGUAUUAAAAUUCAGUUUCUUCUUUUUCUUUUUUUUUUAAGAAUUUGUUUUAUGGUAUGAUAGAACUAAAGAUUUUUUCCCUACAUUGUAUUUCUCUAAUGUUAGAUAUUUUUGAUAUCAGCUUUUGAUGAGAUGUCUGAUUAUAUGUCCUGUUUUCCUCUUGUUCUUUAAGAUGGUCAAAUUCAGAUUUUCUUUUAGAUAAGCCCUUGGCCUUUCAUUUGCUUUUGCCUUGCAAAGUCAUUUAUUCCUUCAAGCAGAGUCUGCAGCUCCAGCUGUGAAUGUAGAUGAAUGUUCUUGCAGGGUCAGUAGUGUAGCACUGAACCUAAAUAAAAGGAUUAGCAGGAGUUCACUCGGAGUAAAAACUCCUAAUUUCACCAUAGUAAAUACAAGAGACCAUGGAGGAGGUGGGGGGAGAAUAAAGCUUUGCUAUUAAAAUUGCUAACAAAUGGUUAUUCAGCCCUACAUGCCUCUGCCUUUCUGCUUCUGUUGCGCUUCUCAAAUGGUAACGAAGGAUGGGAGCACUUUAAUCCAUGACUACUUUUUUUUUAACUAAAUCUUAGGAAAAAAUGAGUGCUUCCUGAUGUUUUAUCACUUUGCACAAUCUUUAGCCUUUAUGCAGAUAGCUGUGGCUGGACUGAGCCUAACAGCUGUAAAUGUUGAGCUUGUGUCUCCUAGCUCCUCAAGUGUGUGUUAUUUCCUGCAGCCAGUAUAAUCUGGUUUUAAACUCCUGGCAAAAACAAAAAAACAUUUAUGGUGAUUCUUCAGCUGCAUACAUGGACUUCCUGUCGUCUUCUCCAAAUUGUAUGCAGGUUUCUCUGAGAAUGUCUUUUUAUUUCCACUGAAAGUGCAUCGGAUAAAAAGAGUUCCAUAACCUAUUUGAUGUAGCAAACUCUCAGCUACAAAACAUUCUUUUCCAACGUAGUCACUGUUACCAUUAACUAUAUAUUUCACCAUUGAUGAACAAUAGCCUGCAUGCUGUGCUUGUGGAAAUCUGCAUCAGCGGAAGAGACUCCCUGUUGCUGUUGCCACUGCUGGGACCCAUGACCCACUGCCUCACUGUGCUCACAUCCACUGCUUGGUCUCCAUCAACAUUCAAAAAACAUCAAUGAAUGUCAGUGGGUGCAAUUUUUUCCACAUGGAGGAAUUCAUUUCUGCACAUCCAUGUCAGACACCAUUUUGUCAGGCUGCCCCUCUGAUGCAGUUUGUUGCAUGGCAACUAAAUGUGAUAAGUUAUUGAUGGAGAGGUUCAACCUCUGCUUCCAUACCACCAACAUCCACCUCUUAUGUCAUAAAUAAUAAAAUAGGAGGCAUUACUUACAGAGUGGCCAUUGUACCUUUUCCCAGGUCUGCUGGAGGUCAGAGAGGUUAUAUGGGAGAUUUCCUCUUCCAAAUAAGUUAUUUCUUAUUGGCUGUUGGGGGCUGCCAAAUGCUUUUUUGACUCUCCCAGCUUUAAACAGCCCUAUUAUCUAAGCAUUCAAAGUAAAACUUGCAUCUGAUUCCUUGGGAAGGAAAAUAAGUAAUUACACUUGAAAUGUGACUGCAUUGCUUAAGAAAUGAGACAGAAGUCCUCUAAUUCUAGUAGCAAAACCUCAGUUUUGUCACUCACUCCAUCUGGCUGCAGAGGUGGUUCUGGUAUGCGGGCAGCUAACUUCAUUGGAGCCCUGACUAGAAAAUGCCACAGUGCCUGUCCAGUUGCCUGCCAGAAGCUCCUGGUGUUGUAGCCAAGGAGUGAAGGCUGGUGUGUGAACAGGAUCCUUCACAGUAAGAAUUGGAGGUGCUGCUUGAGCACACACUUAGAACUAGAUAGCAUUGUGGAUUUUUUUUUGUGCUUUUGUUUCUUACUUUUACUUCAGAGACGCUGCCCUUUUGAGACUUGUUUGUGUCUAUAUUUGCAAAGAGAUAACUUGCAAAAUUAUUUCUCUAUCUUUGUUUUGUCAAAGCCUAAUUCUUUUUCAUAGAGAAUAGGGACAGUACUGUGUUGUGCUUCAACAGCGGUUUUCAUUUGUGACCAAAUGAGAAUCAUGCUAGACUUUGCAUGUUCAUCUGCUCCUUUUAUUCCUCUCCUGUUGUUUUCUUGCUUGCACAAACAGAAAUGUGGCUUCAAUUUGUCCUCCUCAUGACUAUGUUGUGGACCACCUUCUGAAACUGCGGGGACCACCAACGGGCUGCAGAGAUGGCUGAGGAGCCACAAUCUGCACAGGAAUCCAUAUAACCUUUUGGUUUUUAUUAUAGCCUCGCUCCAGCACCCUGCAUCAAACGCUUCUGAUGGCCUUUUGUUUA